AUUGAACGCUGGCGGCAGGCUUAACACAUGCAAGUCGAGCGGAGAUGAGGUGCUUGCACCUUAUCUUAGCGGCGGACGGGUGAGUAAUGCUUAGGAAUCUGCCUAUUAGUGGGGGACAACAUUCCGAAAGGAAUGCUAAUACCGCAUACGUCCUACGGGAGAAAGCAGGGGAUCUUCGGACCUUGCGCUAAUAGAUGAGCCUAAGUCGGAUUAGCUAGUUGGUGGGGUAAAGGCCUACCAAGGCGACGAUCUGUAGCGGGUCUGAGAGGAUGAUCCGCCACACUGGGACUGAGACACGGCCCAGACUCCUACGGGAGGCAGCAGCGGGGAAUAUUGGACAAUGGGGGGAACCCUGAUCCAGCCAUGCCACGUGUGUGAAGAAGGCCUUAUGGUUGUAAAGCACUUUAAGCGAGGAGGAGGCUACUGAGACUAAUACUCUUGGAUAGUGGACGUUACUCGCAGAAUAAGCACCGGCUAACUCUGUGCCAGCCGCCGCCGUAAGAC
rnacentral:rRNA from 1 species